CACAUGUCUGUAGGUGCCAUUAUCUCCCUCUCAUCACUCAUCAAAAAUCUGUGUGCAUUUUAGGUAAAGUUCUGGGCAACCUACAGCUGAACCAAAGUUUAUGAGAACCAAGCCCUCAGUGCCAUAUUCCUCCACAACAACUACAACUACAUCCUCAAGUCCCUGGAGAAGUCAGAAUUAAUCCAGUUGGUGGCCGUCACUAA